AACGAACGCUGGCGGCGUGUUUAGGACAUGCAAGUCGCACGGUGUCAUUUUGGUAGCAAUACUUGGAUGGCACAGUGGCGCACGGGUGAGUAACACGUGAAUGACAUGCCCUUCAGAGGGGGAUAGCCCAGGGAAACUUGGAUUAAUACCCCAUGGUCUCGCGAGAGUAAAGGUGGCCGCAAGGCUGUCGCUGGAGGGUUGGUUCGCGUUCUAUCAGCUUGUUGGCGGGGUAACGGCCGACCAAGGCUACGACGGAUAUCUGGCCUGAGAGGACGAUCAGGCACACUGGAACUGAGACACGGUCCAGACACCUACGGGUGGCAGCAGUCGAGAAUAAUUCACAAUGGGGGCAACCCUGAUGGUGCAACGCCGCGUGGAGGAUGAAGGUCUUCGGAUUGUAAACUCCUGUCAUCCGGGAGCAAGACCUGGCCGUGAAUAGCGGACAGGGUUGAUAGUACCGGAAGAGGAAGGGACGGCUAACUUCGUGCCAGCCGCCGCGGUAAUAC
rnacentral:rRNA from 1 species